rnacentral:ncRNA from 1 species
CUGGUUGAUCCUACCAGUAGUCAUAUANGCUUGUCUCAAAGAUUAAGCCAUGCAUGUGUAAGUAUGAACAAAUUCAGACUGUGAAACUGUGAAUGGCUCAUUAAAUCAGUUAUAGCUUGUUUGAUGGUAUCUACUACUCAGAUAUCCGUAGUAAUGCUAAAGCUAAUACGUACAACAAACCUCGACUGCUGGAAGGGAUGCAUUUAUUAGAUAAAAGGUCGACAUGGGCUCUGCCCAUUGCUGCGAUGAUUCAUGAUAACUCGACGGAUCGUACGACCAUCGUGCCGAGGAUGCAUCAUUCAAAAUUCUGCCCGAUCAACUUUUGAUGGUAGGAUAGUGUCCUAGCAUGGUGGUGACGGGUGAUGGAGAAUUAGGGUUCGAUUCUGGAAAGGGAGCCUGAGAAAUGACUACCACAUCCAAGGAAGUCAAUAGGCGCACAAAUUACCCAAUCCUGACACGGGGAGGAAGUGACAAUAAAUAACAAUACCGGGCUCUAUGAGUCUGGUAAUUGGAAUGAGUACAAUCUAAAUCCCUUAACGAGGAUCCAUUGGAGGGAAAGUAUGGUGCAAGCAGCCGCGGUAAUUCCAGCUCCAAUAGCGUAUAUUUAAGUUGUUGCAGUUAAAAAGCUCGUAGUUGGACUUUGGGAUGGGCCGGCCGGUCCGCCUUAGGUGUGCGCCGGUCGUCUCGUCCCUUCUGCCGGCGAUGCGCUCCUGGCCUUAAUUGGCCGAGUCGUGCCUCCGACGCUGUUACUUUGAAGAAAUUAGAGUGCUCAAAGCAAGCCUACACUUUGUAUACAUUAGCAUGGGAUAACAUUAUAGGAUUUUGAUCCUAUUACGUUGGCCUUCGGGAUCGAAGUAAUGAUUAACAAGGAUAGUCGGGGGCAUUCGUAUUUCAUAGUCAGAGGUGAAAUUCUUGGAUUGAUGAAAUACGAAAUGCGAAAGCAUUUGCCAAGGAUGUUUUCAUUAAUAAAGAACGAAAGUUGAGGGCUCGAUAACGAUCAGACACCGUCCUAGUCUCAACCAUAAAUGAUGCCUAACAAGGAUCGACAGAUGUUGCUUUUAGGACUCCGCCAGAAACUUAUGAGAAAUAAAAGUUUUUGGGUUCUA